GGGAGACAAACAACGAUUUUGAUGCCUGAGUACUUUUAUUCUUAGGCCGAAAUCCUGUCACCUUAGGUCGAUCGGUACCUCAACUUCAAUCCUGUGAGUCGCAAGACUGCACAACGGUUGAUUUUUAGUUCCUAAACGUUGUCUAGGUCACCCCAUAGAGGGUUCACUUCCUGGGCCAUUAGCUCAGGUGGUUAGAGCGCACCCCUGAUAAGGGUGAGGUCCCUGGUUCAAGUCCAGGAUGGCCCAUUCCAAAAUCCAUUUUGGAUCAUUUGGGGGUUUAGCUCAGUUGGUAGGGCGCCUGCUUUGCAAGCAGGAUGUCAGCGGUUCGAGUCCGCUAACCUCCACUAACACUACUGAACUCCUAAGCCAGGAAGAGCUUCUUGGUUGGUGACUAGACGUUGUUCGCAGAGAAUCCACUGGUUCGUCCAGUCGUAUUCAGCCUCAGCUCAUGUCUGAUCACAGAUUGAGCUGAUGCUGAAUUCACUCCUGAAAGGGAGAGGAUUUAGCAGAACCUUGACAACUGCAUAGGUGAGUCUGGAAAGACAAAAGCAUCUCAUAGAGGCUAGUUCGCAAGAACUAGUGAUUCUAUUUUUGAGAGCCGAGACCUUCUAGCGUUCUUCCCAAUCCGCCGAGGAGCGGGGAGUUUGAUCCUUGUUUCUAACUGAAGCAGCAAUGCUUUAAGAGAAACUUGAGAGAAUGGGCCUCAACAGCCUGAAGCGUUAGGAGGAUUAAU
rnacentral:tRNA from 1 species